ensembl:lncRNA
GGGGCAGGCACCCACCCUGGACAGGGACCUUCUUCAGGAUCCUGGGCUGUGCCAGCAGCCUGGGCUUCAAAGCGCUACCGUUUGUUUGAUUCUCGCACACUACAAAGUGCUGUGACCCUCGCUUGCGGAAGUGCCACGCCCACCAGGGGAGAGGGCUGCAAAGCCAACAGCCUUUGUCCAGGGAGUUUGCCGGUGCAGGGGUGUGGCAGCCGCUUGCUCAGGGCGGAUAGGUAGCCACAGGUCCUGGCCCAUGGGUGCAGGCCUCUCCCGGGAAGGGGUGCUGUGGGCAGAAGAUGCCCAGCCAUGGCAUCAGCCAGUCCGCUCAGCUGUGCACAUGGCUGCUCGAGGCCAAAGCGCCUGUGCACGUGAGCCUUUGUACAUGAGUGAGCACACGCAUUUGCACUGAGCUUGUAUGACUGUGCAAGGCGUCCAUGUGUCUGCUCCCCAGGAGUGUGUGCAGUGUCUCGCACAACUCGUCCUCCCCCAGGGCACAAGGCCAGGGGCACAGGACACCCCACACCCCUCAGACCCUAGAGUCCCAGGCCCUGGGCGAUGCCUGUGUGGUGCCCCAGCAAGGGGGGUGUCCUGGGUGCUCCCUGUGUUCUGCUGCCCCUGGGAGGAGGCUCCAAGGUGGCUGCAAGGCUCACUGCAGGCAGACCUUGCCACGCCAGGGCCCCAGAGGUGGGCGUUGGGCCCAGGUCCCCAGCCAGCUGGUGGGAGGCAGAGGAUGGGAAUGCCCACAGGGAAACUGAACCCCAGCUCCACCGACUGUGCCAGGGCACAGAGGGGUCGGAAACGGCUCUGAGGCUGGACUCAGGAGGGUGGAGGCCAAGGGUCCCGGGGCAGGAGCGGGUGACGAGUUUUGAGGGCAGUGUGAGCCCUGGGCUGCUCUGGAGCUGGCGAUCUCUACCUCCUCCUGCCCUGCCUGCCUGGGUCAGAUGUAUGCCCUGUGCCCUCCACACACUGACUGAGUCCUGGGCCACUGAAGCUGGGCCAGGCCGGGCUGGCUUGAGACUGGUGAGGGCGAUGGCUUUGCCAGAAUCCCAGCCAUCUGGGUGGAGCCCAGCUGCCCCCAGGCGUGGGACCUCCUCCUGUCCCCAGAGGGGCCUCUCAAGGUGACCCCAGCCCCGGGGGGGGUCGUGUGAACAGGGCUGUCCUGGCUGUGCCUUUGUGCAUCCCCACAAUGGCAGAACUUGAUGCCGCCUCUCGCAUUACCGGACUCAGAAGCUCACCGAGCCCCUCUGCACUGCCCUGAUGCAGCUGGCUGGGAGGACUUGGCUUUGCAGAGAAGCAGGCCUGGGCAGCAUGCUGGUCCCCAGUGCCCACUGCUUUCUUGUCAUCAGAGCCUGUCCUCUCAGGGCCUUGCUGGACAGCCCUGCCUCUGCCACCAGAGUCCAGUUUGAGCUGUAGAAUGGAGAAAGCAGAUGUACUGGAUGACAGCCUGCUGGAGGAUGCUGUCCCUGCAGGAGGGAAGCAACGGCCCGGGGCACACACCUUGCUGGAGCACCCAGGGUCUACCUGCAGGCCCACAGCAGCCCCAGCUCAGAGUCAGAGGAAGCCACUGGGCAGAAGAGCCCAGCGAAUGGCCAGAAAACACCAUGGGCUCUUGGGGCAGGGCCAGCUGCUCCUCCCCACCUUCUACCACCUCCCAAGGUGACCAUGCUUGAGGGGGACCAUGCAGGGGCUGGGCAGUUUGCAUCCCUUGCUUGGUGCACACACAUACACAUGCACACACAUGCGCGCACAAACACACACACACAUACAUACACAUAUGCACACACAUCAGCUGAAUGCCUGGGCUGAGCAGAGGCAUGCAGCCCAGGGGUAAGCUCAGCGGUCUGCACAUUGGCGCAGUGGGAGCCCUGUGGAGUGGAGGCCGUGGGUGUAUGGCUGUGCUCGAUUGAGGCCUCUGUUUUCUGCAACCUAGAAGCCCCAGCUUCCACCUGCAGCACCUGAGGGCUCCCGUUGGCCCUGUGCGACUGCCGAGCCUGGACAGACGACUUGGGCUGCUCCCCUCUUCUCCCCCGGUCACCUGGACUCUCGUAGUGACCCAGCCCCUCCAUGAGCUGAGCUGACUCACUGCCUGCCCAACCCAGUGUCUGCAGCUGCACACUUCCGGUCCCUCGAGGAGAGUGUGCCUCUGGCUGGAGAUGCAACAGCCCCAAGGGUCCCAAGAGCCAGGCCUCACCAGCGGGGCAGGGACGCCGCAGCCCAGCCUGGCACCGUACCGCUGAGUGGGGCCGGGCCUCUGUGAUCAGCUGGAUGCCCUGAGUGUGCUCAAGUCUGCGGAGAGACCCAGGGCCCACAGUGCUUCCAAGGCCGUUUUCCUAAGAAUGGUGAUGGUGACUGGAGCACACUGUGCUUGGGAAAAGGAGGAACUGUGGCCAGCCCUGUCUCGCGCCCAGGUUCUCAGGGUGUCUGCAGCUGACCCUGGACUCACUGGGGCUCUCUGGGGUUUGCCCGCAUCAUGCCCCCCUGAGCAUGCUGGACCUGCUGCCCCAUCCCAGGCUCGGUGCCGCACCCAGGACGCAGAACUCAGCCACGGCCUCCAGUCCCCAUGAGCCUGUGGCUGGAGCAGUGGCUGCAUUGCAUGAACCUGAUCCCUCCCCAGGUGCUGAGCAGGCUCUGGGCUCCACCUGUGUUCAGGGGGCCUGGUCCUCCUCGAAGCCAUGCCUGUGGGGCCCCCAACAAUCCUGGCCUUGGGGUCACAUGGGCUCUGUUCACCUCCUGGGUGGACACUGUGGGGCAGGGCCCAGCAUCAAGCCCAGGACCCAGAGCGCACCCUCUGCAGCAGCCGUGGGCUGCCUCUUGAUGGCACCGGGGAGCAGAGCAGACCAUGAGAACCCCAUCCCUUCCACCUCCCCAAGUUGCUGCUUCCAGUGAAAUACAU